UAGGCAACUUACCGAAAUUUUGUGCGUUUAAAUUUACGAAUACAGAUUUUGUCGUCUAUCGUAGAAAUGAGAUUAACAAUUUUACCUACGCUAACUGCUGUGCUGUUCGUCAGUUGCAAUCUUGGCGAUGUUCUAGCUUUGAGUGGGCCGAACGUGUGUACACGGAUAGCCGUGAGAUACGUACAGAGGCGGGUCUGUGUUUACCGAUGGUGGUUCAGCUGCUGUCGAUAUCGAACGAUAUCUGUGUGUCAGUACUAUCUUGAACAAAAAUGUUGUCCUGGAUGGAGUAAAAGAGGC